AUUUCUACCCCAAAACUAAGGCGCCACCUUCAACCAUAUCAUCACCAGUUCAACAUAACGGAGGGAAACAACAGACUCCUGAACUGAAGCUUAGUCCUCAUGAAGAGAUACGGCGUUUAAAGGCACAAGUAGACCGAUACGUCAGCGAAGAGGCUCCUAUAGAAACUCUCAUCGGAAUCGUAGCAGCAAUUACUCCUUUAGUUCAAACAGGGAUGUCAACGCCGU